CACGGAUCCAGAGUUUGAUCAUGGCUCAGGAUUAACGCUGGCGGCAUGCCUAAUACAUGCAAAUCGAACGAAGCCUUUUGGCUUAGUGGUGAACGGGUGAGUAACACGUAUCCAAUCUACCCUUAAGUUUGGGAUAACUAGUCGAAAGAUUAGCUAAUACCGGAUAAUAACAUUCACUUGCAUGAGUGAAUGUGGAAAGUUGCGUUUGCAACGCUUUUGGAUGAGGGUGCGACGUAUCAGAUAGUUGGUGAGGUAACGGCUCACCAAGUCAUUGACGCGUAGCUGUACUGAGAGGUAGAACAGCCACAAUGGGACUGAGACACGGCCCAUACUCCUACGGGAGGCAGCAGUAGGGAAUUUUUCACAAUGGGCGAAAGCCUUAUGAAGCAAUGCCGCGUGAACGAUGAAGGUCUAUAAGAUUGUAAAGUUCUUUUAUUUGGGAAGAACCACUAAAAUAGGAAAUGAUUUUAGUUUGACUGUACCAUUUGAAUAAGUAUCGGCUAACUAUGUGCCAGCAGCCGCGGUAAUACAUAGGAUGCAAGCGUUAUCCGGAUUUACUGGGCGUAAAACGAGCGCAGGCGGAUUUGUAAGUUUGGUAUGAAAUCUAGAUGCUUAACGUCUAGCUGUAUCAAAAACUACGAAUCUAGAGUGUAGCAGAGAGUUGGGGAACUCCAUGUGGAGCGGUAAAAUGCGUAGAUAUAUGGAAGAACACCGGUGGCGAAGGCGCCAACUUGGACUAUUACUGACGCUUAGGCUCGAAAGUGUGGGGAGCAAAUAGGAUUAGAUACCCUAGUAGUCCACACCGUAAACGAUCAUCAUUAAAUGUCGGCUCGCUUAUGAGUCGGUGUUGUAGCUAACGCAUUAAAUGAUGUGCCUGGGUAGUACAUUCGCAAGAAUGAAACUCAAACGGAAUUGACGGGGACCCGCACAAGUGGUGGAGCAUGUUGCUUAAUUUGACAGUACACGUAGAACCUUACCUAGGUUUGACAUCUAUUGCAAUGCUAUAGAAAUAUAGCGGAGGUUAACAAUAUGACAGGUGGUGCAUGGUUGUCGUCAGCUCGUGUCGUGAGAUGUUGGGUUAAGUCCCGCAACGAGCGCAACCCCUUUCGCUAGUUAAUUUAUCUAUCGAUACUGCUACCGCAAGGUAGAGGAAGGUGGGGAUGACGUCAAAUCAUCAUGCCCCUUAUAUCUAGGGCUGCAAACGUGCUACAAUGGCUAAUACAAACAGCUGCAAUACCGUAAGGUGGAGCGAAUCUGAUAAAGUUAGUCUCAGUUCGGAUAGAGGGCUGCAAUUCGCCCUCUUGAAGUUGGAAUCACUAGUAAUCGCGAAUCAGACAUGUCGCGGUGAAUACGUUCUCGGGUCUUGUACACACCGCCCGUCAAACUAUGGGAGCCGGUAAUAUCUGAAACCGUACUGUUAACCUUUUUGGAGGCAUACGUCUAGGGUAGGAUUGGUGACUGGAGUUAAGUCGUAA
rnacentral:rRNA from 1 species